rnacentral:rRNA from 1 species
UACGUAGGGGGCGAGCGUUGUCCGGAAUUAUUGGGCGUAAAGAGCUCGUAGGCGGUUUGUCGCGUCUGCUGUGAAAACUCGGGGCUUAACUCCGGGCCUGCAGUGGGUACGGGCAGACUAGAGUGCGGUAGGGGAGACUGGAAUUCCUGGUGUAGCGGUGAAAUGCGCAGAUAUCAGGAGGAACACCGGUGGCGAAGGCGGGUCUCUGGGCCGUAACCGACGCUGAGGAGCGAAAGCGUGGGGAGCGAACAGG